rnacentral:tRNA from 1 species
GCCCGCCUAGCUCAAUCGGAUAGAGCGUCAGACUCUUACUAGGCGGGAAUCUGAAGGCUGCGAGUUCGACCCUCGCGGUGGGCU